UUUAAGGUCUAACCUGCCCAAUGAGGAUUUAAAUGGCCGCAGUAUUUUGACUGUGCAAAGGUAGCAUAAUUAUUAGUUUUUUAAUUGAAAGCUUGUAUGAAGGGUUGGACGAGAUAAAAUCUGUCUUUAUUUAAAUUAAAGUAUAAUUUAACUUUUAAGUCAAAAGGCUUAAAUGUUUAUAAAAGACGAGAAGACCCUAUAGAUCUUUAUUUAGUUAAGAUUUUAAUAAUUUAGGAUUAUUUUAAUUUGGAGUCUUAAUUGAAUUUUAUUGGGGUAAUAUAAAGAUUAAAUGAAUUCUUUUUAUUUAUGACAUUAAUUUAUGAAUAUAUGAUCCAUUAAUAUUGAUUAUAAGAUUAAGUUACCUUAGGGAUAACAGCGUAAUUUUUUUGGAGAGCUCAUAUCGAUAAGAAAGUUUGCGACCUCGAUGUUGGAUUAAAAAUUAGCUUGGGUGCAGAAGCUCAAGAUUUUGGUCUGUUCGACCAUUAAAUUUUUACAUGAUCUGAGUUCAGACCGGCGUAAGCCAGGUCGGUUUCUAUCUUUAUUUAGAUAAAAUAUUUUAGUACGAAAGGACCAAGUAUUUAAUAUAAUUAUAUUUAUUUUUU
rnacentral:rRNA from 1 species